rnacentral:rRNA from 1 species
GACGAACGCUGGCGGCGUGCCUAAUACAUGCAAGUAGGACGCAGUUGCGAACGGGUGAGUAACGCGUAGGUAACUGCCUAGUAGAGGGGGAUAACUAUUGGAAACGAUAGCUAAUACCGCAUACUAGUAGAUGGACCUGCGUUGUAUUGGCUAGUAGGUAGGGUAAUGGGCUACCUAGGCAACGAUACAUAGCCGACCUGGGGGGGUGGUCGGCCCAACUGGGACUGGGAAACGGCCCAAACUCCUUCGGUGGGCAGCAGUAGGGGAUCUUCGGAAAUGGGGGGAACCCUGACCGAGCAACGCCGCGGGAGUGGAGAAAGUUUUCGGGUCGGAAAGGUCUGUUGUUAAGGGAGCGGUACUUAACCAGAAAGCGACGGCUAACUACGUGCCAGCAGCCGCGGUAAUUC